GGCAGGCGGCUCCUCUCCUUCUGCGGCCCCACGCGCCGCCCCAAGCAGGACGCGCGGCGCGGAAUGAGUGUAAAUGAGAAAACACUAACUUCGCUCCUGACGGCGCCGAUGCAGGAUGUAUCCGUUUACCCUAUAAAUAAGCACUGAUCACCUCCAUUUUAUUGAACUCAUUUUCCAGGCAAGCAGAGACCACAAGAUUCUUCAGCACAUUUUCUCUUUACACCCUCUAGGACGGCUGCUAGUGUCAACUCCGACAGAUUUAUAGCCCAUUCAUUCAUGGGAACAAAAACCCUGCCACGGCUGGUCAUGGGACACGCAAUAGCAGUUAGUUCAGAAGAUAACAGCGGCAAUACCUCACCUCUCCAUUCAGGACUACAGAGCCGGCACCACUUUGGAGACCCAACAGCAGCCAAAGGUGCUCCCAGGUGGAGCCCAUGAACCCAAUGAAGAAUCAAAGGCAGGCUGGGUCUGACCUUGGAAAUGGGUCAGAAACAUCAGAGCUGGGGCGCAAGCCUGGUCCCCACAACAGGACGAAGCUGGUCUGACUAGUUCAUGUCUGUCCCCAGAGCCUGAAACAAGCCAGGUACAAAGCAAACACAAAACAAGCAUGUGUUGAAUAAACCUUUUUUUUUUUUUUUUUUUAAG
ensembl:lncRNA